UAAAGCGAUUCAGCGGGUUACGAUUGACGGAGCGAAGCGACGUCAAAGCGUAUACAAAGUCGAGUCGGUUUAAGGAUACGUUCGUUGGGUAGGGGAGCGUUCUGUAAGCCCGUGAAGGUGGCCUGUGAGGGUUGCUGGAGGUAUCAGAAGUGCGAAUGCUGACAUAAGUAACGAUAAAGCGGGUGAAAAGCCCGCUCGCCGGAAGACCAAGGGUUCCUGUCCAACGUUAAUCGGGGCAGGGUGAGUCGACCCCUAAGGCGAGGCCGAAAGGCGUAGUCGAUGGGAAACGGGUUAAUAUUCCCGUACUUGGUGUUACUGCGAAGGGGGGACGGAGAAGGCUAUGUUGGCCGGGCGACGGUUGUCCCGGUUUAAGCGUGUAGGUGUGUGUUCCAGGUAAAUCCGGUUCACUUUAACACUGAGGCGUGAUGACGAGGCACUACGGUGCUGAAGCAACAAAUGCCCUGCUUCCAGGAAAAGCCUCUAAGCAUCAGGUAACAUCAAAUCGUACCCCAAACCGACACAGGUGGUCAGGUAGAGAAUACCAAGGCGCUUGAGAGAACUCGGGUGAAGGAACUAGGCAAAAUGGUGCCGUAACUUCGGGAGAAGGCACGCUGACACGUAGGUGAAGUGAUUUACUCACGGAGCUGAAGUCAGUCGAAGAUACCAGCUGGCUGCAACUGUUUAUUAAAAACACAGCACUGUGCAAACACGAAAGUGGACGUAUACGGUGUGACGCCUGCCCGGUGCCGGAAGGUUAAUUGAUGGGGUCAGCGCAAGCGAAGCUCCUGAUCGAAGCCCCGGUAAACGGCGGCCGUAACUAUAACGGUCCUAAGGUAGCGAAAUUCCUUGUCGGGUAAGUUCCGACCUGCACGAAUGGCGUAAUGAUGGCCAGGCUGUCUCCACCCGAGACUCAGUGAAAUUGAACUCGCUGUGAAGAUGCAGUGUACCCGCGGCAAGACGGAAAGACCCCGUGAACCUUUACUAUAGCUUGACACUGAACAUUGAGCCUUGAUGUGUAGGAUAGGUGGGAGGCUUUGAAGUGUGGACGCCAGUCUGCAUGGAGCCGACCUUGAAAUACCACCCUUUAAUGUUUGAUGUUCUAACGUGGACCCGUAAUCCGGGUUGCGGACAGUGUCUGGUGGGUAGUUUGACUGGGGCGGUCUCCUCCUAAAGAGUAACGGAGGAGCACGAAGGUUGGCUAAUCCUGGUCGGACAUCAGGAGGUUAGUGCAAUGGCAUAAGCCAGCUUGACUGCGAGCGUGACGGCGCGAGCAGGUGCGAAAGCAGGUCAUAGUGAUCCGGUGGUUCUGAAUGGAAGGGCCAUCGCUCAACGGAUAAAAGGUACUCCGGGGAUAACAGGCUGAUACCGCCCAAGAGUUCAUAUCGACGGCGGUGUUUGGCACCUCGAUGUCGGCUCAUCACAUCCUGGGGCUGAAGUAGGUCCCAAGGGUAUGGCUGUUCGCCAUUUAAAGUGGUACGCGAGCUGGGUUUAGAACGUCGUGAGACAGUUCGGUCCCUAUCUGCCGUGGGCGCUGGAGAACUGAGGGGGGCUGCUCCUAGUACGAGAGGACCGGAGUGGACGCAUCACUGGUGUUCGGGUUGUCAUGCCAAUGGCACUGCCCGGUAGCUAAAUGCGGAAGAGAUAAGUGCUGAAAGCAUCUAAGCACGAAACUUGCCCCGAG
rnacentral:rRNA from 1 species